AUACGUAGGGGGCAAGCGUUAUCCGGAUUUACUGGGUGUAAAGGGAGCGUAGACGGAAGGUCAAGUCUGAUGUGAAAGCCCGCGGCUCAACUGCGGGACUGCAUUGGAAACUGGUCAUCUGGAGUGCAGGAGGGGUAAGCGGAAUUCCUAGUGUAGCGGUGAAAUGCGUAGAUAUUAGGAGGAACACCGGUGGCGAAGGCGGUUUACUUGUCUUUAAAUAGCGUUGGGGCUCCAACGCGGGGGCAGAUAACAUGAUGUGACUCCCUUUGCGUCCACGCCGUAAACGAUUAAUACUAGUUGUUUGUUUUCUAGAGAGAUUCGGUGCCGCAGCAAAAGCAAUAAGUAUUCCACCUGGGGAGUACGUUCGCAAGAAUGAACCUAAAAGGAAUUGACGGG
rnacentral:rRNA from 1 species